rnacentral:rRNA from 1 species
CUACGUAGGUCCCGAACGUUGCGCGAAAUUACUGGGCGUAAAGGGUCCGUAGGCGGUCUGGUAAGUGGAAGGUGAAAGCCUGGGGCUCAACUCCAGAGUUGCCUUCCAAACUGCCGGACUUGAGGCAGGGAGAGGUCGGCGGAUUUCCCGGUGUAGCGGUGAAAUGCGUAGAUAUCGGGAGGAACACCAGUGGCGAAGGCGGCCGACUGGAACUGUCCUGACGCUGAGGGACGAAAGCCAGGGGAGCGAACCGGAUUAGAAACCCUAGUAGUCC